UAAAUCCACAAGGUUCAGCCGAAAUUACUUUUUCAUGGGCCGAGCAAGUGAGACCAUCUUUCAAAUCCGACCCACUUGCCAUUCUAGCGUGGCUGCGUGAGACUGAGAUUUUGGCAGCGAUUGUUGACCGGGGUAUCUUUCAAUAUGAAAAACAUUCGUCCGCCCUGUUAAUUUCUGACUUCAUUUCCUCAAAUCAAAUGGAAUGUAUUGAACAGAACAGAUUCAGAGCUUUGGCCAAUUCCUCGGAAUUUAGUCGCGCGGUAUACUCAGAGAUAGAAGAGGUUGGGUGGGAGCAUCUGGUGAGGCUGAGUGAAGACCUAAAGUUUCUUAGCUUUCGUGUUUUAGAUAAAAAGGGGAGAGUGCACCAUAUGGAAAUUCAAUUGGAUAAAAGCUAUCCCAAAAGCCCACCUUCGAUUUCAGUGGAUGUGCCAUGUGUAUUUAAUUUGAAAUGGUCCAAAAAUUCAAGAUUGAAAGAUUUGCUGCUGCAGUUCCGAGAGCAUCUGGAGAAACUUCAGGAAAUUUGGUCUAUUUUGGAUGAGAUUGAUAAAUCUCUUUGGGUUGUCAACUUGAACCAGCUUUCUCAUGCUAAUACUUGUCGACAAAUUAAUUUGGGUAAUGAUUGCUUCAUCAUGUUGCGUAUACAUCCCAAUGAUCCUAAGUCUUUGCCUGAAUGUCGCUUUAUGGGUUCUGGUCAAGCCUUGAAUUCCUCAAGGAAAACCUGGCAAAGAAACAGCAAGAGAUGGAACAAGGACAAGCCAUUUCUGGAAAAUGUUGCAAAUCUUUUAGAUGCUGAACUGCCUAGACCCCCAGAUUACCAGAAUGGUGAUCAGCAUGUGGAAUGUGGGAUUUGCUAUGCUCAAUAUCUACCUAUGAUGAGCUGGGACCUAAGAGUGGAAGUGGAACUGAUUAUAAAUGUGAUAACACCAGUUGCAGUAGGGCUUUUCAUUCUGUCUGUCUUGCAGACUGGUUGCGCUCCAUUACAACAACACGGCGGUCAUAUGAUGUUCUGUUUGGCAAUUGUCCAUACUGUUCAGACCCAGUUGCUGUAAAAAUCGACAAUCCAAAAUCAUAAUUCAACAUCAUUUCAUUCUCAUCAAAGAUGAAUCCUGUUUCUUGCCCUUAUCGGUUGAAGACAAGCAGUUUCUGCAUGUGAUAGGGACCUGCCAAAGAGAUAUGGAUUACUACAACUCCAUGAUUUGUAAGUGAUUUCCUGCUGAUAUAUAUAUAUAUAUUUGGCCGCAUGUGAUCUGCUUUGAAAUUUUCCAAUGUGACUGUUCGGUUGGGACACUGUGGUUGUUUGUAGCUCGCACUUUUUGCUAUUACUUAUAUUUUUCAGUCAUUUAAGUUAUUUUAAGGAAAAUUAAAAUUUGGGAAAUGCUAAUCGGGGUGUGGUAAAGAAAACAAACCCCACGAGUUUCAACAUUGGUGAGAAAUCUUCUAGAGAGUCUUAUAAAUGAUAGUAAAUCUUUGUUGACAUGUUGUCAUAGAUUUUCUAUAAAUCACAGUCAGGGUUUCUUCUUUAAAAUGUAUAAUAUCGGAGGAAUCUAUGAAGUUUAAAGACCAAUCCUGUAAAAAUUGUGGAUUAAAAUUUUAUUUUAUUUUUAUCAAUCUUGUUGGUAUUUUAAUGCUUGGUGGAUAUAUAUUUAAAAAAGGAGAAGAUGUUAGUGAUGACAAACAUAUGGCUCGCCAAAGCUUUCACAAGAUGGUCCCCUUGCUUCUAAAUGUGCCUCAAGUCAAAGAAUUAGGGUUGGGGGUCUGUAAUCAAACCUCUUGCUAAUCGCGUUUAAUCAACCACUUAUUACUUUGAUGUCUCUGGUGGUAAUUAUAUUUUCAAUUUCAGAGGUUGUAACAUUUGUCGUAUUUGUAAGUAAUUGAGGCUAACAGGAGUGAGCUUGUUAGAAUUUUCUUUC